rnacentral:rRNA from 1 species
UACGUAGGGUGCAAGCGUUGUCCGGAAUUAUUGGGCGUAAAGAGCUCGUAGGCGGUUUGUCGCGUCUGCUGUGAAAACUCGGGGCUCAACCCCGAGCUUGCAGUGGGUACGGGCAGACUAGAGUGCGGUAGGGGAGACUGGAAUUCCUGGUGUAGCGGUGGAAUGCGCAGAUAUCAGGAGGAACACCGGUGGCGAAGGCGGGUCUCUGGGCCGUAACUGACGCUGAGGAGCGAAAGCAUGGGGAGCAAACAGG